AUUAGAAAAAGUAAUAUUUCCAAUUUACACAGCUUACUUAAGUGAAAUGAAUGAAACCGAGUUGUGUUACUUCUGCAGUACCGCACUUUGGUCAGCAGGUGGAGUAAUAUCUGCACAUGCGCAGAUGGGAAGCACAUUCAAAAAUCACGCUUCAGCUCUCUUUUAGAUCAGCGCCAUUUUUAGAAGCAAAACAGAAGAAUUUCAAGGUGCGAUGAAAGCAAGAUAAGCUUUUCUUCAUGUGGACACACAGAGUUUUGGAGUUCUGCCUUUAGAGUCCCAUAUGUGGCUGUGCAGAGAUUGUGUGGAUCUUCUCACACAUCCAGAUCAAGGCUUUUAAAACACUUCAGAAUUACAACAAUCCCUUUGGUGUCCAAUGGGCCAGCUUGAUAAUUUCUCAACCCAGCUCCUCAAAAUUGUCAAAAAAGGAAAGAGCAGCGUCACAGAAGAUCACAAACAUCCUGUCAGUUAUGGAUCAGCAUGUCACUAUUGGGAAAAAAGGGAAUGCAUCCUGAAAUCCCUGGCUGAUCUUCUUAAUAAAGAGCCCUCAAACCUCAUGAAGGAGUAUAUGGUAAGUUACAUACUU